GCCCAGAUAGCUCAGUCGGUAGAGCGCAAGGCUUUUAACCUUGUGGUCCUGGGUU
rnacentral:tRNA from 1 species